AUGGUUUACCGUCCCACAUACA
rnacentral:ncRNA from 2 species